GACGAACGCUGGCGGCGUGCCUAAUACAUGCAAGUAGAACGCAGUUGCGAACGGGGGAGUAACGCGUAGGUAACUGCCUCAUAGCGGGGGAUAACUAUUGGAAACGAUAGCUAAUACCGCAUACUGUGAGAUGGACCUGCGUUGUAUUAGCUAGUUGGUGAUGUAAAGGCUCACCAAGGCGACGAUACAUAGCCGCCCUGAGAGGGUGCUCCACCACACUGGGACUGAGACACGGCCCAGACUCCGACGGGGGGCAGCUGUAGGGAGUCUACGGCAUAGGACGUAAGUCUGUCCUAGCAACGCCGCGUGAGUGCAGAAGGUUUUCUGAUCGUAAAGCUCUGUUUUUUCAGAAGCAGUAACUAACCAGAAAAGGUCGGCUGACUACAUGCCAGCAGCCGCGGUAAUAC
rnacentral:rRNA from 1 species